UGGGGAAUCUUGCGCAAUGGGCGAGAGCCUGACGCAGCAACGCCGCGUGGGUGAUGAAGGUCUUCGGAUUGUAAAACCCUGUCGUCGGGGACGAAGGUUGCGAGUUUAAGAGAUGCGCAGCUUGACGGUACCCGGAGAGGAAGCCCCGGCUAACUCUGUGCCAGCAGCCGCGGUAAUACGGGGGUGGCGAGCGUUACUCGGAUUUAUUGGGUGUAAAGGGCAGGUAGGUGACCUUACAAGUUUUGGGUGAAAUCCUGUGGCUCAACCACAGAACUGCCUAAAAAACUGUAAGGAUUGAGACUGGAAGAGGAAAGCGGAAUUCCCGGUGUAAGAGUGAAAUCUGUAGAUAUCGGGAGGAACACCAGUGGCGAAGGCGGCUUUCUGGUCCAGUUCUGACGCUGAGCUGCGAAAGCUAGGGGAGCAAACA
rnacentral:rRNA from 1 species